rnacentral:rRNA from 1 species
UUCCUAAAGAAUCAAAUUUUAGGUAAAUCCUGCUCAAUGAAUAAAAAAAUUCCACACUAAUUUAAUAGCCGCAGAACUCUGUGCUAAGGUAGCACAAUCACUUGCUUUCUAAAUAAAAGAUAGAAUGAAUGGAUAAACGAUUAAAAACUUUUUAACAUUACUAAAUUAACCUAAUCAACACGUAAAAAAGCCUUUAUUAUUAUACAAGACGACAAGACCCUGAUAAACUUAUAAAUUUAGUUGGGGUAACAUAAUAACAAAAUUUUAAUUACAAUCAAAAUACAACUUAUCAAACAAAAUAAAUUUAGUUACUACAGGGAUAACAGCGCAAUCUCUUUUAAGAGUUCUUAUCUAAAAAGAGUCUUACGACCUCGAUGUUGAAUUAAUUUAUCUCUAAUAAGCAAAAAUAUUAAAAGUAAGUCUGUUCGACUAAUAAAAAAUU